CCUACGGGAGGCAGCAGUGAGGAAUAUUGGUCAAUGGACGAGAGUCUGAACCAGCCAAGUAGCGUGAAGGAUGACUGCCCUAUGGGUUGUAAACUUCUUUUAUAUGGGAAUAAAAUGUUCCACGUGUGGGUUUUUGUAUGUACCAUAUGUAUAAGGAUCGGCUAACCCCGUGCCAGCAGCCGCGGUAAUACGGUGGAUCCGAGCGUUAUCCGGAUUUAUUGGGUUUAAAGGGAGCGUAGGUGGUUUGUUAAGUCAGUUGUGAAAGUUUGCGGCUCAACCGUACAAUUGCAGUUGAAACUGGCAGUCUUGAGUGCAGUAGAGGUGUGCGGAAUUCGUGGUGUAGCGGUGAAAUGCGUAGAUAUCACGAAGAACUCCGAUUGCGAAGGCAGUUCACUGGACUGCAACUGACACUGAGGCUCGAAAGUGUGGGUAUCAAACAGGAUUAGAUACCCCAGUAGUC
rnacentral:rRNA from 1 species